GAUGAACGCUGGCGGCGUGCCUAAUACAUGCGAGUCGAGCGAACGGACGAGAAGCUUGCUUCUCUGAUGUUAGCGGCGGACGGGUGAGUAACACGCGGAUAACCUACCUAUAAGACUGGGAUAACUUCGGGAAACCGGAGCUAAUACCGGAUGAUAUUUUGAACCGCAUGGUUCAAAAGAGAAAGACGGUCUUGCUGUCACUUAUAGAUGGAUCCGCGCUGCAUUAGCUAGUUGGUAAGGUAACGGCUUACCAAGGCAACGAUGCAUAGCCGACCUGAGAGGGUGAUCGGCCACACUGGAACUGAGACACGGUCCAGACUCCUACGGGAGGCAGCAGUAGGGAAUCUUCCGCAAUGGGCGAAAGCCUGACGGAGCAACGCCGCGUGAGUGAUGAAGGUCUUCGGAUCGUAAAACUCUGUUAUUAGGGAAGAACAUAUGUGUAAGUAACUGUGCACAUCUUGACGGUACCUAAUCAGAAAGCCACGGCUAACUACGUG
rnacentral:rRNA from 1 species